GACGAACGCUGGCGGCGUGCUUAACACAUGCAAGUCGAACGGAAAGGCCCUUCGGGGUACUCGAGUGGCGAACGGGUGAGUAACACGUGGGUGAUCUGCCCUGCACUUUGGGAUAAGCCUGGGAAACUGGGUCUAAUACCGAAUAGGACCACGCGCUUCAUGGUGUGUGGUGGAAAGCUUUUGCGGUGUGGGAUGGGCCCGCGGCCUAUCAGCUUGUUGGUGGGGUAAUGGCCUACCAAGGCGACGACGGGUAGCCGGCCUGAGAGGGUGACCGGCCACACUGGGACUGAGAUACGGCCCAGACUCCUACGGGAGGCAGCAGUGGGGAAUAUUGCACAAUGGGCGCAAGCCUGAUGCAGAGACGCCGCGUGAGGGAUGACGGCCUUCGGGUUGUAAACCUCUUUCAAUAGGGACGAAGCGCAAGUGACGGUACCUAUAGAAGAAGCACCGGCCAACUACGUG
rnacentral:rRNA from 1 species